CCUACGGGAGGCAGCAGUGAGGAAUAUUGGUCAAUGGGCGGAAGCCUGACCCAGCAACGCCGCGUGAAGGAUGAAGGCUUUCGGGUUGUAAACUUGUUUUGACAGGGGAGAGUAGAAGACGGUACCUGUCGAAUAAGCCACGGCGAACUACGUGCUAUCAGCCGCGGUAAUACGUAGGUGUCAAGCGUUUUCUGGAUUUACUGGGUGGAAAGGGCGUGUAGCCGGGUUGACAAGUCAGAUGUGAAAUCCUGCGGCUUAACCGGAGAACUGCAUUUGAAACGGUUGAUCGUGAGUACUGGAGAGGCAGACGGAAUUCGUCGUGUAGCGGUGAAAUGCGUAGAUAUUACGAGGAACACCAGUGGCGAAGGCGGUUUGCUGGACAGCAACUGACGGUGAGGCGCGAAAGCGUGGGGAGCAAACAGGAUUAGAUACCCCUGUAGUC
rnacentral:rRNA from 1 species